GGAACCUCCAGCCUGGGUCACCAGAACCAGGCAUCUCCUGAGGGCCCCGCCACAAGCCACCCCUCUGCCCCUGGCCUCACAUUCCUUGGAAGCACAAAUGAGUAAGAUGGGAAGGGGGCCCAGUGGACAUGUACCUUUCCAGAACCUUCCUAGGCACCCCUCGACCUGCAGGGUAAGGGCCCUAUUCCUCAACCUGGCACUCGAGGCCCCUCGGGUCUGUCCUUCGCCCCUGCCUAUCUUACCUCCAACCUUUCUUCACUCAAAAUCCCACACUUGAGCUACAAUGAAAGGCCAGCGGCUCCCUAAACACACGGGGGCCGCCUGCCUCUGGCUUGCACGGGCUGCUCUCUCUGCCAGAAGAGAAAACUCCCAAGAGUCCCUCAGUGCCAAGCUCCAGCAUCACCUCUUCCUGGAAGGAAUCUCCAUUCCCCAGAGGGGUCACGUGCCUUCUCUGGAUGUCCCCUGCACCCUGUGUGACCCCAGGAUGGUGCAAAUCACCCUAACUGGCUGCAUCUGUCACCCCACCAGCCUCGAACCUCAGGGGCAGGCCUGGUGUGGGAGCACCCACAGCCAAUCCGGGAGCCCAGUAGGAUGAGCAAGGCUGCAGUCUCAGAGACACUGGCCAUGUUGACCUGGGCUGGGACAGUCCUGUCUUCCCAUUCACUUCCAUGCUCCUGGGACUGGAAGGUGGUGACUGGUGGCCUUCUUGAUUGUGGGCAGCAAAGCCCUUGGGACCGUGACCACUGAG
rnacentral:lncRNA from 10 species